rnacentral:rRNA from 1 species
GCGGCCUAUCAGCUUGUUGGUGAGGUAAUGGCUCACCAAGGCGACGACGGGUAGCUGGCCUGAGAGGGCGACCGGCCACACUGGGACUGAGACACGGCCCAGACUCCUACGGGAGGCAGCAGUGGGGAAUCUUGCGCAAUGGGCGAAAGCCUGACGCAGCGACGCCGCGUGCGGGAUGAAGGCCUUCGGGUUGUAAACCGCUUUCAGCAGGGAAGAAGCGAAAGUGACGGUACCUGCAGAAGAAGCACCGGCUAACUAUGUGCCAGCAGCCGCGGUAAUACAUAGGGUGCAAGCGUUGUCCGGAAUUAUUGGGCGUAAAGAGCUCGUAGGCGGUUUGUUACGUCGGGUGUGAAAACCUGGGGCUCAACCCCAGGCCGGCAUCCGAUACGGCCGUAGCUAGAGUUUGGUAGGGGAGACUGGAAUUCCU